UACGGUCAGAUCACGUUGAAACACCAAUUUCUCUACGAUCACCGAAGUUAAGCAACGUCGAUCUUAGUCAGUACCUAAAUGGGUGACCACUUGGGAAUGCC